AAAUGUUUAAUGCACAAAUUAUGUUUCCUUGAGCUUCUACCUGUCCAGUGUCAGGCUAUGCCAUGACAGUGUGCUUGGACAUGAGGACCUGGGAGAAUGGGAGACCUGCAGGAACUGAUGGCUUUGGAGUUGACACCAACAGGACGCCUGCAUCAUCAUUUAGGUACUAAAAUCAAAAGGCUUCAUCACCAACAGUGCUAUAAGGACAUUGUGGUUGCUAAGAAUCUAACUGGCUGCAAAAAGCAAUUACCAAGGUACAUGGAAAACCAAGAUCCUGAAGGGCUGCCAACACAGAGAUAGAUACAUUUGAUUUAGAAAGCACUGGAUUUCUGACAGCUAAGAGAUAUACCAGAGAAACUGUACGUGUGUCCUUUUCCAUAGCCUUUCCUCAUACAUUCAUUUCACAUUUUGAUCUUUUUUUCCAGUUUCGUUAUCAUUAAAAGCAAAUUCUGUUGUUAAAGAGAGGGAGGAAAAGGUCCUGUUUGAUGACUGUCAAUGAGUGUGUGGAAGACUUCUUUUCAUGCUCCCUUCACAUCUACAGUAUGGCAAAUUCAGAGGAGCAGGUGUCAAUUAGAUGAAGUUCCAGUGAUAACAAGCAAAGCAGGAGGAUCUACUCAGAUGUGAGACCUUAAUUCCUCCCAGAAAAGUGUCCUCUGUGAAAAAUUUCUAAAAGUUCAGCAGUGGAGGAAAGGCAGCCAUUCCACAGCUCAUCCAAAGCUUAAUUUCUCAUUGAUCAUUUUGUGCUUUUUAAAAUCUCUGUUGCUUCCCAAAACUUUUUGGUACAUUUUAGAACGCACAUGUUAGGGUGAAAAUCAGUUAUUAUUCAAUCACCUCUGUCCUUACCAUUUUGAGUUCAUUCUAUUAAAGAUAUUUCCAUUAAUGUUUGGUAUCUUUUGACUUGAACUGUACAUGAUAAUGUAAUACUGCUUGCUAUAUGAAAUGAAGGCUCAUUUUUACAUCUGAGAACUUGGUAUUAAGAAUUUCCCAUUGCUGCUCUAUUGUGAGUUUUCAGAUUACUGUCUCAUGUCUGUUUUCCAUAUUCAAAUAAAU
rnacentral:lncRNA from 1 species